UGUGUAGGCGGUUGUUUAAGUUUGGUGUGAAAUCUCCCGGCUCAACUGGGAGGGUGCGCCGAAUACUGAAUGACUAGAGUGCGGGAGAGGAGAGUGGAAUUCCUGGUGUAGCGGUGAAAUGCGUAGAUAUCAGGAGGAACACCGGCGGUGUAGACGGCUCUCUGGACCGUAACUGACGCUGAGACACGAAAGCGUGGGUAGCAAACAGGAUUAGAUACUCUGGUAGUCCACGCCCUAAACGAUGCAUAUUUGGUGUGGGUCAUUCAGUUGAUCCGUGCCGGAGCUAACGCGUUAAAUAUGCCGCCUGGGGAGUACAGUCGCAAGGCUGAA
rnacentral:rRNA from 1 species